GCAAAGUUCUUUUAUUUUUGCAAAUUUCCCUUUGCUCUUUGUGAGCUUUGCUUGUAGUCAGUCGUCGAUCUCCAUGGACAAACCUAGUAAAAACCAGGUUUCGUUGAGAGGAGCGAGUGCGAAGGAGAUUACGCGGGAUGAUCUUCUUGAGAAGGUCUCCCAAGAAAGGGAGCUCCGGAAUUAUACGCGCCGGGCCAUGGCUGCCGCGAUCGUUAUCCAGAAAGUUUGGAGGAGCUACAAUGUGACGAAGAUAGCAGCUUUCCAGCUCCAAGAGGAGUGGAAAGUGAUGGUGGAAAGCAAUGCUCUUUCCAUAACCAGAUCAUGGGUUUCAAGCAGUUUAUUGAGGCCUUUUCUUUUCUUUGUUACUUGUUUAUCAACUCGUUGUCAGAAAAUAAGAUCCCAAGAUAUACAUUGUAUGCAGACUUGCUUCCGAAUUUUACUGGAAAGCUUGAACUCAACUGAUCCUCAGAAGAACUUUUGCUCCCUGGCAAUAGGUAAACUGGAAGAGAGAAGGGUGUGGAGUUAUCAAGCACGGAGGCUCAUUUCUCUAUGCUUGUUUAUUCUUGGACAGUGUGAUAAUUCUCACCCAGCCAAUCACGAUAUUGCUGCUCUUACCUCUCUGGCAAUACGUUUUGCUGUUGUAUUGACUGAUUUGAAGGGUUGGGGAAAAGGCACUAGUGAUAAUAAUGUUCACGAUGCGGAGAUAGCAGUGAAGGAUUUGGUUCAGUUUAUGGGAAGCAAGAACAGUGGACUGUACCAUAAUGUUAGAAGAUAUAUUGAAAAAUUGGAUGCUUCUUUUUCUUUGCAAAUGAAAGCAACAGAUGCGCAAUUCCUGAUCACUGCCAGUGCUCUAACUUUAGCUUUACGACCAAUUCAUGCUGCAAAUCUAAAUGAACUCAGUCAAUUAGAGGGGCAUUAUGCCACUGAGCAGUAUUGUGUGUUUCUGCUUACAAUCCCUUGGCUUGCUCAACGUCUACCAGUGGCACUCUUACCUGCUCUGCAGCACAAGGCUGUUCUAUCACCUUGCUUCAGGACAUUACUGAUUUUGAAAGACAAAAUUCUGAAGGAGAUUUUAGAGGUUGAUAAGGGGAAAGUUGUUUCUUAUUCCAAGACGAUGCCUCAAGUUGCUUGGCUUCUAGCUAAUGUUUUAUCCCUUGCAACAGUGAGUGAUUACAGUUCCUGGAUUCCUAGAAAGUUCACUGAAGGCCUAGACUACAUUUCCUAUGUUCAUGUUACUAUCAUUCUUUCAGAGAACUUACUAACUUGGUUUGAGAAUGCCGGAUGGAUAAAAAAUGAGAACCAAGAAUUCCAAACUAAUUUUGAAACUUCUGCAGAAUCUGAUACUCUUCUCUGUGGCACUCAGACAAAUUGUGGAUUCUUGAAAAUGUCAUACAUUGACUCUUUUAGGCCUGUUUAUCAGCAAUGGCAUCUCAUGAAACUAUCAGCCUUGGAGAAAGAUGCUUUUGAUUAUGACAUUGAUAAUCAGAUGCCAAAAAAUAUGGAAUCUUUUGGGAAGUGUGAUCUGCUUGAUGUUGCAUAUUAUUAUUCUUAUAUACUAAGAAUAUUUUCGGCUCUGAAUCCUGUGGUUGGGUCAUUGCCCGUUCUCAAUAUGCUCGCUUUUACUCCAGGAUUUCUUGUCAAUCUAUUGAGAGCACUGGAAAGAUCCAUGUUUCCUGGAAAAAGUGAUGUUGCCAAGGAUAAUUUUCUCUCUGGAAAUAGAACUUCCAGAAACAAGGAUGAUGGGGUAAGUGAGAGAAAGCAAAAACGGGUUACUAAGGACGGUGCCAAUAAAUUAGCUGCCGUGUUAUAUAAAAUCACUGGUAAAGGAAAUGUUGGUUAUACAGGUGCAGUAGAUCAACCUACACCUAAUUGGGUUGAAGAAGAUUCUUCUGAUGUAUGGGAUAUAGAGCCUUUGAGGCAGGGUCCAGAAGGUAUAUCGAAAGAUACUUCUUGUCUACUUCAUCUAUUCUGCGCUUCUUAUUCACACCUGCUGUUAGUUCUUGAUGACAUAGAGUUCUAUGAGAAACAGGUUCCUUUCACUUUGGAGGAGCAACGUAGAAUUGCAUCAAUGCUUAAUACAUUAGUGUAUAAUGCCCUGUCUCAUAGUAUCCGCCAGCAGAGUAGACCUCUUAUGGAUGCUGCAAUUCGAUGUCUGCAUCUAUUGUAUGAAAGGGAUUGUAGGCAUCAGUUUUGUCCCCCAGCUUUGUGGCUUUCACCUGCUAGAGAGAAUCGGCCCCCGAUUGCUGUAGCUGCCAGAACUCAUGAAGUUUUAUAUGCUACUCCAAGAUUGGAUGAAACUUUGACCUUUCCAAGCAUGGGUUCUGUCAUCACCACUACCCCAUACGUCUUUCCAUUUGAAGAAAGAGUUCAAAUGUUCAGAGAAUUUAUCAAUAUGGACAAAGCAUCCCGAAGAAAGGCAGGUGAAAUGCUUGGACCUGGUUCACGAGCAGUUGAGAUAGUAAUUCGUCGUGGUCAUAUUGUUGAAGAUGGUUUUCAACAAUUGAAUUCUCUUGGAUCAAGGCUGAAAUCUGGCAUCCAUGUCUCCUUUGUUAGUGAAUCUGGUCUUCCAGAGGCGGGCCUGGACUAUGGUGGGUUAUCUAAGGAGUUUUUGACUGAUAUAGCAAAAGCAGCCUUUGCUCCCGAGUAUGGACUAUUCUCUCAGACCUCAACUUCAGACAGACUUCUAAUUCCUAAUACAGCUGCAAGAUUUUUGGAGCAUGGUCUCCAGAUGAUUGAGUUUCUUGGAAGAGUUGUUGGAAAAGCACUUUAUGAAGGAAUAUUGUUAGAUUAUUCUUUUUCACAUGUUUUCGUACAAAAGUUGUUAGGUCGCUACAGCUUUCUUGAUGAACUAUCCACACUUGACCCCGAGGUCUACAGAAAUCUCAUGUAUGUUAAGCAUUAUGAUGGUGAUGUGGAGGGGCUCUGUCUGGAUUUCACUGUUACAGAAGAAUCUCUUGGUCAAAGACAUAUUAUUGAGCUUAAACCAGGUGGCAAGGAUGUGUAUGUGACAAAUGAGAACAAAUUGCAGUACAUUCAUGCAAUUGCAGACUAUAAACUUAAUCGGCAGAUAUUACCUUUCUCAAAUGCUUUCUAUAGAGGGUUGACAGAUCUUAUUGCCCCAUCUUGGUUGAAGUUGUUCAAUGCGAGUGAAUUUAAUCAGUUGCUCUCAGGUGGGAAACAUGACAUUGAUGUACAUGACUUGAGAAAUAACACAAGAUACACUGGUGGAUAUACUGAAGGGAGUCGUACCAUUAAAAUAUUUUGGGAGGUUAUCUCAGAAUUUGAACCAAAAGAGCGAUGCAUGCUUGUUAAGUUUGUGACAAGUUGUUCUCGAGCUCCUUUACUUGGAUUCAAAUACUUGCAGCCAACAUUUACCAUUCAUAAGGUUGCAUGUGAUAUGCCACUUUGGGCAACUUUUGGAGGACAGGACGUGGAGCGACUUCCAUCAGCUUCUACAUGCUACAAUACUCUCAAGCUUCCAACAUACAAACGAGCUAGUACUCUGAGAGCCAAGCUUCUCUAUGCUAUCAAUUCUAAUGCAGGGUUCGAGCUUUCAUAGAAGUUCCAAGAAAUUACUAAGGUCAAGGAGAGGCUGAUAGAUAUCAAAGACAACAAGUUUGAGACCAGGAAGCUUGCUGUGCAAGUAUUGUGAUGUGCUCUUUAGCUUAUUUUUUAAGGAAACUGCAUCUCGGUUCAGACUCUCAACACAUUGGUUGCUCCCUGAGCCAAAUAGUGUGAUAGCUGCUGGCAAGCAUCCAGUUGGUGGUAAGGUUGUAACUCCAAUCUUCCUUCCUCCCAGGCCAUAGAGAGUCUGUUGAAAAGGUAGGAUUUGAUGUGAAAAAUGCUCAUGCUGUUCGUCUUUGGAGUUUGUACAUAAUGGAGUUUUCUAUCAAGAUUGUGUAAAACCAUUUCAAAUUAGAAAUUUGUGUGACUGGUCAAGUGUUUCAUGGUUGACA